rnacentral:tRNA from 1 species
GCGGCAGUGGCGGAAUUGGUAGACGCGCAACGUUGAGGGCGUUGUGGGCGCAAGCUCGUGGAGGUUCAAGUCCUCUCUGCCGCACCA